CAAUAGCGUAUAUUAAAGUUGUUGCAGUUAAAAAGCUCGUAGUUGGAUUUCGGGGUGGCCUGGCUGGUCCGCCGCAAGGUGAGUACUGGUCAGCCGCCCUUCCUCUCGAAAGCCCCGACUGCUCUUUACUGCAGUGGUCGGGUAGUUCGGGACGUUUACUUUGAAAAAAUUAGAGUGUUCAAGGCAGGCUAUCGCCUGAAUACAUUAGCAUGGAAUAAUGGAAGAGGACCUCGGUCCUAUUUUGUUGGUUUCUAGGGCCGAAGUAAUGAUUAAGAGGGACAGUUGGGGGCAUUCGUAUUUAAUUGUCAGAGGUGAAAUUCUUGGAUUUAUGAAAGACGAACUAGUGCGAAAGCAUUUGUCAAGGAUGUUUUCAUUAA
rnacentral:rRNA from 1 species